rnacentral:lncRNA from 1 species
AAUGAGAGAGAAACGGGAAAAAAGUAAGAAGAAGAAGUGUUAAUUUCUUGAAGCUUCAGUUCAAUUUAUCUAUUAUCUUUGAGAGAUAAAAGAAUAAUUUAUGUUGAAUUUUCUAGGGUUCUAAGUGGUUGGUUUAAUUUCAAAUUAAGUGGAAUGAGUAUAAUUUCUUACUCAAGUUGCCUAAUUGAUAACUUCCGGUUGAAUCAAGGUAAGCAAUUCUAGAAAACCCUCAAAUCUCUAAUUGAGUUCUUAAGUAAGAAUGCUUGGUAGAAAUGAUUGUGAAGAUGAAAUACAUGAAGCAUGAAUUUAUGGAACAAGAUGAAAAUUAAAUUGGUUGAAUUAUGGUUUCUAUUUUUCACUAGAUUGAAAGGUGUAAUUAAUUUUAUGUUUGGGAUGAGAUGAAUUUGGAUAUAGUACAAAUUUAUGAAUGUAUUAGAAGUAGAAUUAGCUUCAAUUGAGUAAAGAAAAUUUUGAAGAAUUUAUUCUAAUAUUGAGAAACUUAAUUUAAGUAUAUCAUCGUUAGAUACUAUAGGUUUCUUGAUUUGGUAGUGGUUAAACUGGUUAUCUUUUAUCAUAUUUCAGGGGUGAUGAAGAGAUUGGAAAAACUUACCAACCAUCCUAGUCUGUAGCUUUGUAUUGUGUGAGUGGAAAAAACUUAUUUUUAGAAAUAAGUAUUUAUUAAAUAUAUAUUAGAUCAGGAAGUUAAUUAUUUCAUAUAGUUGGUUUGACAACAUGAUUUUCCAAAUAAAGUGGAUUUUAUAAUAAAUUCUUGUAAAAGUUAAAUUCAAUUCAGUUAAAUCAUUUCAUUAGCAUGUUAUAUUCGUAUUACAUGUUUCAGCAUUGUUACAGUUAUUUUUAAAAAUCGCUAAAAAACACGCAGUUGAUUUUACCUGUUCUCAACUGGUGUGAAUGUGUGCUUUGUUUAUGCUUGCAAUUAAUUUCUUUUUGCACAAGUUUUAGUAGUUUGGCCAUUUUCAUUUGCUUUCUUUUGUGCGAGAUUGAAUGAUUUACUCACGCGUAAUUCAUUUUGUAAUCGCCUACUUAGUGCUUCAUCCAUUUACAAGGUAAUCCAUUUCAGGAUCUAGCUUGUCAUUUUUAUAAGAAAACCUUGCUAAAUAAAUUAAGUUUAGGCCAAACUCAUUUCAUUAGUAAGCAAUCAGUACAAGGUCGUAUGUAAAAUUCAUUGAUAAUAUUUUUACAGAUGUUCUGCGUUCCAUGGAUAAGGCUGUGUCUUUCCAUCCAAUCCUUCUAUUCGGUAGGUCCCGGGUCUAACUUCUUCUCUUACAAGAUAUGGAACCUCCUAGUUCAGUCCAAGAGUUCCUACCCCUAGUUCCUUUGUAGAUAAAAAUAAUCUUCGGAGGAUGAAGUCAUUCAUAUGGAAUGUUUUCUUCUUAACUUUUGAGUUUUAAUACCUAGUCAUUUUCCUUUGAUACGUUGCCAACUUGGACUCAGAUUCAUUUCUCCUUUCUUCAAGGAAGUCCAGCUCACAUCUCCUUAAUUCCUCAUUGGAUACUUCAUUGAAGUGCAAUCGACGAGGUGACAACAAACCCAAUUCAACCGGGCUCAUUGCCUCCGCCUUAUAGGUCAUAGAAAACGAGGUUUGGCCAGUGGGUGUUUGGCUUUCUGUUUUGAUGUCCCCUAAGACCUGAGGCAGUUCGUCCACCUAAUUUCCUUUCAUGGUAUCAAGCUUUCUCUUCAAUGUAUAUUUGAUAAUCUUAUUAACAACCUCAACUUGUCUAUUUGCCUAUGGAUGAUGUGGAGAGAAGAAAUGUUUCUUGAUCCCCAACUCGUCACAUAGGUCCCUAAUCUUUUUAGUGUGAAACUGACAUCCAUUGUCUGAGACAAUCGAGUGGGAAAUGCCGAACCUACAUAUGAUUUUUUCCACAAGAAUUUUAACAUGUUCGCUUUAGUUAUUUUAGCCAAUAGCUCGACCUCAACUAUUUGGUAAAGUAAUCAAUUGUGAAAGUAGCAAACUAGCACUGCCCCUUCCCUUAGGCAUGGGUCAGAUGAGAUUGAUUCUCCACUAAGCAAAUGGCCAUGGGCUAGAAACAACACUAAGCUCCUGGGAAGGUAGUCUUUAAAUCGUGGCAAAACGCUAACACUUGUUGCAUUUUCUGGUGAACUGCUAGGUGUCCUUUUACAAGGUCAUCUAAUAGUAACCUUACCUUUGAACCUUCUAUACAAAGCCCUAUCCUCCUAAGUGGUUACCACAUACCCCUUCGUAUAUCUCGUGAAGUACAUAAGUGGCCUCCUCUCCACCUAUGCAUCAUAGUAGGGGCAUAGAGAAGCCUUACUUUUAGAGUAUGUCAUCUUGAAGGAUAAAGUGGGCGACUCGUCUUCUCAACUUCUGUGCCUCCUCUUUGUCAGAGGAUAGAAUGUGGUUUUGUAGAAAUGCAAUGAUGGGUCCCAUCCGUGAGGGGGUAUUUUCUACCCACAUCAUCUCUUCGUUUUUAGAAAUUGAAGGCCUCGGAAGGUAUUCUAUGGAGAACACAGUGAGUAAUUCAGAGUCCUUACUACUUGCCAAUUUCGAAAGGGCGUCGGUAUGGGUAUUUUCACAAUGUGGAAUCUAUACCAAUUCAAAUAUUUCAAAAAGGGGAGAAAUUCCAUCAUCCGUUUUAGAUAUGCAGCUAUGUUCUUAUCUUUAGCUGCAAAAUCAUCAUUAACCUAGCUAACCACCAGCUAUGAAUUGUAGCUAGUGUCUAGCCUCUUCACUUACAUUUCUUUGGCUAAACGAAGGCCAGCUAGGAAAGUCUCAUACUCGGCUAGGUUAUUGGUUGCCUUAAACCCAAUCGUACGGUGCAAUUGAGCUUGUGUCCUUCCGGACUAAUCAACACUAUCGCUAUCCCAUAUCGACUUCUCCUGAGGAGCUAUCAAUGAACAAAUUUCAUGUCGGGGGUUAGGCAUUUUCCAUUUUCGCUUCCAUUUCUGGAACGGGAGUAAACUCAGCUACAAAAUCUGCUAAUGCUGCCCCUUGACUGCUGUCCUUAUGUUAAAAGUAAUGUCAAACUCACUGAGUUCUACAUCCCAUUUUAACAGUCUUCUUGAAGUGUCAAGUCUUUGAAGUACUUGCCUAAAUGGAAAAUUGGUUAGCAUCUCAAUAGCGUGUGAUUGAAAGUAGGGUCUCAAUUUUCGAAAGGCAGUGAUAAGAGCCGAAGCCAACUUCUCCAUGUCAGGGUAAUGAGUUUUGAAUGCUAGCAAGGCUUUGCUUAUAUAAUAGACAGGUAAUUGACGACCUUCCUCAUCCCUUGUGAGCACCGAGAUGAUUACCUCAGUAGUCACCGCUAAGUAUAAUCGUAGAGGUUCCCUAAAUUUAGGUUUCAAUGGGAGAUGAGCCGUCCUAAGUGUUUCCUCAGCGCUUGUAGAGCCUUCUCGCAUUCUUAUAUCCAUCGGAACCUAUUCCCACCUUCUAGGAUUUUGAAAAUUGGGAGACACUUGUCCAUCGCCUUUGACAUGAAGCGGCUUAAUGCAGCCACUUAACCUGUGAGGCUAUGUACCUCCUUGGGUUUCUGAGGUAAUUUCAUUUCAAUCAAGGCUUUGAUCUUAUAUGGGUUAGCUUCAAUGCCUCUUUGGUUUACCAUAUAGCCCAAUAACUUUCCUGAGGCUACUUUGAAGGCACACUUAAGAGGGUUCGACCGUAUUUUGUACCUUCGAAGUGUCCGAAAGAACUCCUUCAAGUGUCAGAUGUGAUCAUCUACUUUUUAAACUCUUCACCAGCAUGCCAUCCACAUACACCUCCACUAUUUUUUCAAUAAGGUCAGCAAAUAUUUUAUUGAUCACUCUUUGGUAGGUGACCCCAACGUUUUUUAGCCAGAAGGGCGUUACUUUGUAACAAUACAAGCUUCGAGUAGUAAUAAAAAAUGUAUGUUCCUCAUCUGUUGGAUACAUUGGGAUCUGAUUAUAACCUGAAUAUAUAUCUAUGAAACUCAGCAAUUUAUGCCGUACUUCCAGAGUCAACCAUCUGGUCUAUCCCGGGAAGUUGAAAACUCUCCUUGGGACAAGCUCUAUUUAAAUUGGUGAAAUCCACACAUGCUCUUCACUUCCCAUUUUGCUUUUUUACUAACACUGGGUUUGACGCCCACUUCGGAUAUGUCGAUUCCCAAAUAAAAUGGUUAGCAAUUAACUUUAGUACCUCGUCUUUCAAGGCUUCAUAUCUUUCAGGCUUUAGGGAUAUUCUCUUUUGCCUGUAAGAGUUGACCUUGGGGUCGAUUUUCAAAUAGUGCAAUUGAUCUUUGGAUUGAUCCCAACCAUGUCUUCAUGCUUUCAGGCAAAAACAUCCAAGUGGUACGUAGGAAGCUUUUUAACUUCUCCUUUAAAGCUGGCGGUAGACUGUUGCCCAAUUACAAGGACUUGGAGGGAUCGUGGUAAUCCACUACAAAACUCUUUAGUUCUUCAAUCGAAGCUAUAUGAGGUUCGCAAUCGGCUAUAGGAGGUCUAGUUCGUCAAAAUAAGUAGCUUCUUUAGCUGAUCUCCUUUCUUCAGGGUCUAACUGUAUCUCCAUAGCAACCUCUUCUUUAAAGGCGUCUUCCAUUUUGACGUUCUCCCUUGUUCACGAUUCAACGUUUGUUGUUGACCUCGUCGAUGUCCAUUAAUAUGAAAUUUACACUUUUUGGUUCAACUUUUCAUAUGGAGUUUGAAUAACACUCCGUAGCACUUUGUUGGUCACCCUUGAUUGUUGCGGUACCAUUCUUUUUUGGAAACUUCAUACACAAGUUGUGGAUCGAAGUCACUGCCCAUAAUUCUUUUAGAGCGGGUCUUUUCAGUGCCCCAUGGUAAGUGAAGCAAUGAUCUACCACUAGGAAUUCCAUGAAGUUAUGGUGCCACCCCCAUCUCUGUUACUAAAGUGAUUUUCCCUCGCAGAAUAAUGCUAUCGUCCAUAAAUCUAUAUAAGGGAGAGGUUAUCAGGGUUAGUUUGUGGUUAACCUCCAAUUUUGUCAAAAGUAGCUCCAUAUAUAAUGUUAACCGAACUCCCGUUGUCUACCAACAUUCUCUUGAGACCAUUUCUGGCCACCAUUCCCUCACAACUAGGGCAUCACAAUAAGGAUAAUGUACUCCUACAACAUUAUACUAGGUGAAUGUAAUGGGUUGAAUUCUGCCAUGAUUGGAAGCUUGGUUGUUGCUAACUAUAAAUCUCGCCAUUGGGGUCCUUGGCCUCCCUUGCAUAAUUUCUUUGGGUGUUCCUAAUCUCAUCCCCACGUACGGACCUCCAAAUAUUAUAUCAAUUUCUCAAAUGGACUCACACCCAGUAUUGGGUGAGAGACUUCUUAAGUGUCUUCGACCUUCUUUAGGCCUUGCAUAAUCUUUUCCACGCCUGCUUGAGUGGAUGUUGGCUAUCUUCUUCAUUCUUUUGCUGUCGACCUUGUUUAGUGGUCUCAUCUCUUUGAGAAUGAUCAUUUAUUUCUCUGGUUGUUUAGGUGUCUCACUAUGUCCUAGUACCUAAUCGUGCUGUGACUAUAGGAAUGGUGGUAUAUCCAAUAUGGAGGUGCUUCAUCUCUAUUUCAAGGGCGUGCACCUCGUCCUCUGUCUCCUCUUCCACGAGUCGGUCGCUAAGGUAGUCUUCCUUGAUACAACCUGUCAUUGGGAUUUACUUCUUCGUAAGUCAAAUUUGGAACUGCAUUAAGCGUAGCUGUGGCUAACGCUUGCCCAGGAUUGAGGGAAGUUGGCUGUCCCGCCAGUUGAUCUAUCAAGUGAGAUGUUGGCCUCUUUCUCUUUGCAUUUUGAGAGAUGGGAGACCUCAAUUUGCCCUGUUUCGAUGAUCUCUCAAUUCUUCAUCAAGGAUCUCUCUUCUAAUCAUUUCCAGGGGGCAUUGAAACUGCUAUGAUCCUUAUUUUGUACAUCUCUCCAAAAGAGCGAGUUUGUAGAAGCCCGAGAAAUAAAAUGAAAUUAGUCUAUUAUUUUGUGAUGAUCUAGUACCACAGCCUAGCCCAUUUAAGAAACGAGCUAUGGAAGCUCAACCCAUUUAAGAUUAUGAAAGUCCAAGUCAUAAGUUAAUUAAAACCCAACAAUUUAAAAGAAUAAGUUUAAGUAAAUUUGAUUACAAAGAUUUAAUGAAUAACUGGAUUGCCUCAAUGGUCAUCUACAUGGUAUUUCAUAUAUAUACCUAGGUUCAAAUCACCAUGUAAAUGUUUUUAUAAAACUUUUUAUAUGAAUUAUUUUUUUUGGGCUUAGAAACUCUUCAAAUUUUUAGUUAAAGACCAAAUUUAACAAACAUAAUGAAUAUACAAUCCUCCAUUUAGUUUUUCAUUAAAAAUGAAGGCUACAAGAAAAGGAAUGUCACUUUUUCAUUACACUUUUCCUCAAAUUCGAAUUUACUCUUAUUUUCUCUCAAAUAUAUUUCAUGUCAAGUUAAGCUUAAGGAAUAACAAGGGUGUGAAGAAGAAAGACUUUUUACACAUUUGGUUAUUUUAUAUCCAAGAAAAUUCAAGAUGGUAGAGGUGCAGUGUUUAUUUCGUUUUCAAAUUAUGAUUUUUCGAUAAAUGUUUGAAUGAAAUGGUACUUCCGGGUACGAUGCUUCAUCACUAGAAUAGUUUGAAUGAUCAUUCUCCAACUCUACUUGCUAUGAUAAUGCUAUAGUAAUUGGAUUUUUCCGGAAAUCCAUCUACAUACAACGGUAUAAAUCUUUAGUUCGAAAUUUCUAAUUUGAUAACAAAAUGCACCGAUGAUAUCUAUUGAGUUUCAAACUCAUGAGUUAAUUCCCUUCCUAUAGGUUGAAUGGAUUUUCCUUGGGGUGUGGAUGGUGCAACAUGCCAUGGAGAAAGCCGAUACUUGAAAAUUUUAAUUAAAUCAUGAAAUGUUUACGUUUAUUUUUUUUGGAUUUCUAUGGACAUCAUAUGUGG